rnacentral:misc_RNA from 1 species
UAUGUUGUGUAAUUCAUAAAAUAUACCAAAAGAUGUUUGUUCCUGAAAUUGUUGAAACCUCUCUUGUCCGAGGAAACUCAACAGAUCACCAAAAACAUUCAUGUUUGUACAUGAAGACCAAUGCGUGUAUAUCUUCUUCGCCCUAACAAUUUAUUUGUCUUUUUUGGAAGUUGGUACAUCUGAUUUCUUCCUUUUUGCUGAUCUUCUUGUUGAUUGUCUUGAAGGUUUAGAAGAUUGAGAAACGUCGGUA